rnacentral:rRNA from 1 species
UGUGCCAGCAGCCGCGGUAAUACGUAGGUGGCAAGCGUUGUCCGGAAUUAUUGGGCGUAAAGCGCGCGCAGGCGGCCUUUUAAGUCUGAUGUGAAAGCCCCCGGCUCAACCGGGGAGGGUCAUUGGAAACUGGAAGGCUUGAGUGCAGAAGAGAAGAGCGGAAUUCCACGUGUAGCGGUGAAAUGCGUAGAGAUGUGGAGGAACACCAGUGGCGAAGGCGGCUCUUUGGUCUGUAACUGACGCUGAGGCGCGAAAGCGUGGGGAGCGAACAGGAUUAGAUACCCUGGUAGUCCACGCCGUAAACGAUGAGUGCUAAGUGUUGGGGGGUUUCCGCCCCUCAGUGCUGCAGCUAACGCAUUAAGCACUCCGCCUGGGGAGUACGGCCGCAAGGCUGAAACUCAAAGGAAUUGACGGGGGCCCGCACAAGCGGUGGAGCAUGUGGUUUAAUUCGAAGCAACGCGAAGAACCUUACCAGGUCUUGACAUCCCGCUGNCCGCCCUGGAGACAGGGCUUCCCCUUCGGGGGCAGCGGUGACAGGUGGUGCAUGGUUGUCGUCAGCUCGUGUCGUGAGAUGUUGGGUUAAGUCCCGCAACGAGCGCAACCCUUGAUCUUAGUUGCCAGCAUUCAGUUGGGCACUCUAAGGUGACUGCCGGUGACAAACCGGAGGAAGGUGGGGAUGACGUCAAAUCAUCAUGCCCCUUAUGACCUGGGCUACACACGUGCUACAAUGGAUGGUACAAAGGGCUGCAAGACCGCGAGGUUUAGCCAAUCCCAUAAAACCAUUCUCAGUUCGGAUUGCAGGCUGCAACUCGCCUGCAUGAAGCUGGAAUCGCUAGUAAUCGCGGAUCAGCAUGCCGCG